CCUAGCUGAGGCCACGAGUAUUCGGGAACUUCCCUCGAGCAUGAAGGAGAGUUCCAGUGACCUCAUAGGACCUCAUAGGACCAUGUGUCGACCCUGCUGUGAGUUUGAAGGCAGAAGACCCUCUUCUAAACUUGCAGAUUAGGUCGCCCAAGUGGGACACCCCCUUUAGGGUGGGCCCUUUGUCCU